CCUCCGACCGAUUAAAAGGGAAUGCCGUGAAAGUCGGCAACAGUUCCCGCUGCUGUAAGUUCCUGUCCGGAAACGGGCACACGAGGAAUCGACAAUCUCAGCCACUGGUGGAUAACCGGGAAGGCGUCGAAACCGGAACGAGUCAGAAGACCUGCCUUGCAUGAC
rnacentral:ncRNA from 1 species